UGUGCUGGACCUUGAAUGCUACAAUUAUGACCUGCCAGGUGACAUAAAGAAAUGAAGAUGGACUAGGAGGAAUUGCUGAGGAGAGUGAGAAAGAGCAGGGGAGAUCCUGGGUUCACACCAAGGGACAGAGUCUCCAGAGAAUAAAGGUGAGUGGGAAGAAGGGCUCCUGAAAGCAGACUGCAGCAGGACCGAGAGGAUUUCUAGAGAGAUGGGAGUGCAUGACAAGAAAGAGAGUGAAAAUUGCCUUCCUGAGGCCCAGUCCACUGGGACCACUGAUAGUCUUUGGUACAAAGUGGUUUUUUGUGGGUUAAGGGGUGAUCCAAAAUAAUGGAAUUGAGAUAGAGGGAAGGCUGAGAGGGUGAUAGGAAAUACCUAGGAGAUCCCUGGGUCUGCACCAAGAGGUAGAAUCCCCAGAGAAUGGAGGUGAGGUCUUAAGAAGGACUCCUGCAGGUAUAUUGCAGCAGGAAUAAGAGUCAAUCAGGUGACCA
rnacentral:lncRNA from 1 species